rnacentral:rRNA from 1 species
GGAGUUAAGUGCUCACAUUGUUGGGCCUUGCCAAGUGUAAAUAGCUUGGCGAAUAAGGGGUGGGCAAGACUGGUGCCAGCCGCCGCGGUAACCCCAGCGCCCCGAGCGGGAAUCGCGAUUAUGGGUCUAAAGCGUUCGUAGCAGGUUCUGUGAAUCCUUUGUGAAAUCGGCAGGCUUAACUUGUCGGCGUGCAGGGGACACUGCAGAACUCGAGACCGGGAGAGGUCAGAAGUAUUCCUUGGGUACCGGUAAAAUGGGUUAAUCCAAGGAGGACUACCAAUGGCGGAGGCAUCUGACCAGCACGGUUCUGACUGUGAGGAACGAAAGCUAGGGGAGCAAAACGGAUUAGAUACCCGAGUAGUCCUAGCCGUAAACACUGUGAGCAAGGUAUUGCGCACCCCACGAGGAUGCGCAGUGUCGAAGAGAAGUCGCUAAGCUCACCACCAGGGAAGUACGGUCGCAAGGCUGAAACUUUAAGGAAUUGGCGGGGGAGCACCACAAGGGGUGCGGCGUGCGGUUCAAUCUAACUCAACGCAGAGAACCUCACUAGGGCCGACGGCAGAAUGAAGGUCAUGCUGAAGACAUUACCUGACAAGCCGAGAGGUAGUGCAUGGCCGUCGUCAGCUCGUGCUGUGAAGUGUCCAGUUAAGUCUGGCAACGAGCGAGACCUGUACCCUCUAUUGCUAACAACAUCUUCGGAUGGAUUGAGCACUUUGAGGGGACUGCCUGGAAACAGGGAGGAAGGUGCAGGCUACGGUAGGUCUGUAUGCCCCGAAUGCUCUAGGCUACACGCGCGCAACAUGAUAGGGACAAUGGGAUGCCACUCCGAGAGGAGGAGCUAAACCUCUAAACCCUAUCCUAGUUCAGAUCGAGGCUUAAACCCAGCCUCGUGACGCUG